UCUCAUCUGAGGACCUGAGAAAGGAGCUGUCAGGUCUGAAAAAGAGUCUGGAGAAGAUCAGCCAGGCGAUCAUCUUGACAAGGACUCUAUUAGGACCUCCGCACCUUAAACCACCUGCACUGGGCAGGAUGCAAGGACACAAGCGUGUAAAACUGAACUCGAGCAGAGGAGCCUGUACUGGCCAUUAUACAGCUCCACGUGUGCCCAGACUCACUGCGCCUCACAGUGCUCACCCGCUAGGUGGCCCUGAGUUACCGCAACAGCGUCUUCAACACACAAACGCUCAUGAAGCUCCAGUUUUCGCCCUCCAGCCUC